GAAUUCAACCGUCCUUUUAUUUUGAAAUACAGUAAGGCCCUUCUGGUAGAGUGACGGUUAGGACAGGAAGUUAAGCACAGAAACAGGAAGUGCUUAGGGAUCCCAAAGUGAGGUCAAACAGCUCAAAGGAACAGUAACAAAGGUCAAUGUGUGAUGUCAUGAGGUGGAUAUUACUGUCUGAGAGUUUGUUAAAGUGAAAUGAGACAUUCAAAGAUGCAGCAGUGUUCUUCUUUUACAUCACUGAGACUACAGGGAGACACUGAGGACGACUAUCUACGGAGAGCCUGAAGGGACAAACAGGAGAUUAAUCGAGAUUAAAACAAA